UUUACGACAAAACUACGGUAC
rnacentral:piRNA from 1 species